CAGGUAUGUCAAAACCCAGGACCAGACUUCAGAGAAACCUCCAUGGAAAUGCUAAAUGUUCUAUGGUAGGCUACGGACCACAAUUACACAAUGCAUCGUGAAGCAGAGUUGUUGGAAGAAGAAGUUAGAACCCUGAUAAAACGUAAAACGUUCAUCGCAAGAACCAAAGAAGAAACAGCGCGAGCAGCUUUGCAGCGCAGACACGAUGUUCAAGUCCACCCAAACCGCCACAACUCAAGAAGAACUCGACAUGGACGACACCCAAUGAGGAGCAACACGGAGAGACCUCGACAAGACCUAUAUUAGCCUUUUGAAAUAAUUCAUUAUUCAAUUCUUUUUGUAAAUAUAUUUCAUCCAAAUUACCCCUACUCUACCACCAAAUGUUAUAUUGUGCCUGAUUAAAGAAUGUCAUUUUCUAUAUUA